UACGUAGGCAGCGAGCGUUGUUCGGAGUUACUGGGCGUAAAGAGUGCGUAGGCGGUUUUCUAAGUUUGGUGUGAAAUCUCCCGGCUUAACUGGGAGGGUGCGCCGAAAACUGGAAGGCUUGAGUAUGGGAGAGGUAAGCGGAAUUCCUGGUGUAGCGGUGAAAUGCGUAGAUAUCAGGAGGACCACCUCCGGUGUAUCCGGCUUACUGGACCAUACCUGACGCUGAGGCACGAAAGCGUGGGUAGCAAACAGG
rnacentral:rRNA from 1 species